rnacentral:misc_RNA from 1 species
GUUUUUUUUUUCUGCCUUUCAGAGGCUUCCCCUGUCCCUACUGGGCAGGGAGGGCUCCUCUCCUCCGGCCUAGUCGAGGGUUUUACACUCUCUCCGCCCCUGGGUUAGGUGUAUAUAGUAUUUUUUGGGCUGGUUUUCUUCUGAAUUGCAGGUCAAGAACAAAUGGUGAGGGUGGAUUCUUGGAGACUUGCAAAUCUGUUGUGUGUUGGAUAUGGGUUGUUGCAUGUUUCUUGCAGUCGACUGUGGUGCUUUGAUGCUUGCUCUGUGAGAGGGUUCAGAUCCUUGGUAGAUCUUUAUAGAUGCAGGUAUCUCCGGGAGUCUUUAGCCGGUUAAGAAACCAUCUACGGCCGACCCUUAAGGCGUAUGUCGCUGACUAAGCUAUGCCUUCAUCACCCUCUGUUGGGCGUCUUCAUCAGCUCGUGUUUUUGGCCUUCGAAUCUUUGGUGGUCCAAUUCGACCUGCUGCUGAGUCGUUGAUCUGUGCUUGAACGGUCCUUGGUUCUAUGCCAUUUAAAUGAAAUGAUAUCUUCUGACAAAAAAAAU